rnacentral:lncRNA from 1 species
AGAAAAGCAGUCCAAAAUCAUCCACAAGCUGAUAAAUCGGCUCCUGGACAUUAGAGAAAUGCCUGUCAAUGUAUAGAAAGGAUUUAGUUAAUUAAUUACAUGUAUGUGAGCAUCUUGAACAUAGCCAGCAACAAAUACCUGCUAACCGGUUAUAAAUGACAUUGAUGAAUAUUCAGACAAAAAUUUCCAGCCUUUCUCUCUGUAGAGGAAUUCUCCAGAUUGUGACCUGAGGCACAAAAGGAGCAGGGAGUCAACAUUCUUCCUUUUAAUCUGAGUUCCAGGUGAACACAUCUGGUGCAUGGAAUCUAGGAGGUGAAUACCAGUGGGUACUGUGAGUCCUGUCUUUAUCAUCCUCUGGAUGCUU